rnacentral:rRNA from 1 species
AAUUUUGGACAAUGGGGGAAACCCUGAUCCAGCCAACCCGCGUGUAUGAUGAAGGCUUUCGGGUUGUAAAGUUCUUUUUGCAGGGAAGAAAAGGUAUCUCCUAAUAUGAUAUCCUGCUGACGGUAUCUGCAGAAUAAUAACCGGCUAACUACGUGCCAGCAGCCGCGGUAAUACGUAGGGUGCAAGCGUUAAUCGGAAUUACUGGGCGUAAAGCGUGUGUAGGCGGUUCGGAAAGAAAGAUGUGAAAUACCAGGGCUCAACCUUGGAACUGCAUUUUUAACUGCCGAGCUAGAGUAUGUCAGAGGGGGGUAGAAUUCCACGUGUAGCAGUGAAAUGCGUAGAUAUGUGGAGGAAUACCGAUGGCGAAGGCAGCCCCCUGGGAUAAUACUGACGCUCAGACACGAAAGCGUGGGGAGCAAACA